rnacentral:rRNA from 1 species
GGAGGAAAAGAAACCAACAGGGAUUGCCCUAGUAACGGCGAGUGAAGCGGCAACAGUUCAAAUUUUAAAGCUAGCCUUCGGGUUCGCAUUGUAAUUUGUAGAGGAUGAUUUGGGGAAGCCGCCUGUCUAAGUUCCUUGGAACAGGACGUCAUAGAGGGUGAGAAUCCCGUAUGUGACAGGAAAUGGCACCCUAUGUAAAUCUCCUUCGACGAGUCCAGUUGUUUGGGAAUGCAACUCUCAAUGGGAGGUAAAUUUCUUCUAAAGCUAAAUAUUGGCGAGAGACCGAUGGCGCACAAAUAAAGUGAUCUAAAGAUGAAAAGCACUUUGGAAAGAGAGUUAAAAAGCACGUGAAAUUGUUGAAAGGGAAGCGCUUGCGAUCAGACUUGUUUAAACUGUUCGGCCGGUCUUCUGACCGGUUUACUCAGUUUGGACAGGCCAGCAUCAGUUUCGGCGGCCGGAUAAAGGCUCUGGGAAUGUGGCCUCCACUUCGGUGGAGGUGUUAUAGCCCAGGGUGUAAUACGGCCACACGGGACUGAGGUCCGCGCUUCGGCUAGGAUGCUGGCGUAAUGGUUGUAAGCGACCCGUGUUGAACCACGGACCAA